UGCUAGUAAUCACAGGUCAGCAUACUGUGGUGAAUACGUUCCCGGGCCUUGUACACACCGCCCGUCACACCAUGAGAGUUGAGAAUACCCGAAGCCCAUGUCAAAGUGGUCGAAGGUAGGCUUGAUGAUUGGGGUGAAGUCGUAACAAGGUACC
rnacentral:rRNA from 1 species